AUUGAACGCUGGCGGCAGGCUUAACACAUGCAAGUCGAACGGUAACAGGGGAAAGCUUGCUUUCUUGCUGACGAGUGGCGGACGGGUGAGUAAUGCUUGGGAAUCUGGCUUAUGGAGGGGGAUAACGACGGGAAACUGUCGCUAAUACCGCGUAGAGUCGAGAGACGAAAGUGUGGGACCGCAAGGCCACAUGCCAUGAGAUGAGCCCAAGUGGGACUAGGUAGUUGGUGGGGUAAAGGCCUACCAAGCCGACGAUCUCUAGCUGGUCUGAGAGGAUGACCAGCCACACCGGGACUGAGACACGGCCCGGACUCCUACGGGAGGCAGC
rnacentral:rRNA from 1 species